GGAGGACGGGCACUCGACCCUGCAACAACACACACUCAUGUUAGGAUGAGGCUCUACAAGUACAUGCAGGAUGGACCUUUUUCAAGGCAGGGCUCUUCCUGGGUGUAUGGCCUUCCUGAAGUGGGACAGGAGACAACAAGAACAACACAACCAGUGUGAUCCACAGCGGUCAACACCUAGCACCCCAUUAUAUACACGUGAUUGCUUUGAUAUUGAAUUCAAUGAAAACACCUCUAUUAAAUAAUCCUGUGUUCUGUGA